UUAGGUGUUCAGUAACCCUCUGGCGUGGCUGCUCUGAAUUCACACAGGCGGCUCUUCCUCUGUGGGCCAAGGUCUCGCUGGGUGACGGCUGAGGGUCCGUGGAGGCUGGGCUGCGGCCCUCGGACAAGUCAGAGCAGCCGGGGCCCAGAACCCGGGACCCCAGGGUGUGGUUAGCCACCCUUCCGGGGAGCCUCGGUCUCCCUCAGCUGGUCCCAACGGCCAAAGUCGAAGUUCCCCCUUUCAGAUCAAGGCGCUCUACGGCUCCUCUGCCAGCCCCGCGCCGACCCAGACGUGAGGGGAACACCGAAACCUCCCGUGACCGUGAACCCACGUGGCUACACGAAAGCGGCGCACAACACGCGGGCUUGUCACUUUUAUGAGACGGUCCCUCUCGGGGAAGGCCGGAGGCUGGGGAUGAGAUUCAGGCCUAGAAACAGAGAAAGAUCAGCCGGCCCUUAUCUGUGGGAGUGUCCUGAACCAGCACCAUCUUGCCGGCCACUCACCAGGGCCGCACCAACCUGGAAUCAGGCCCGUGCACCAUUACCCCGCCUGCAUCCAUCCAGCAGCAGAACCUUCCCGAGAGGCCUGCGGCCCGUCGGCCUGCGUGGGGACCCGGCAUAGGAGAGGAGAGACCCAGGGUAUUUCUACUCCAGGAACUCUCCAGGAAAUGACAGACAGGAUAACCUGCCACUCAGAUGGGGUUUUCACUCUCAAGAAAGACUGACGCCUUUUGUCCAAAAGUUCUGAAGCCUCAGCACCCUUAAAAAUGAAGUUCCCAGCCGAGGAACUGGCCUGCUAACAAGUUUCCCAGGUCAUUUUGAUGUAAGCAGUUCUUAACAAUAUUCUUUGUGAAAUAUCACUUUGGGCCUUACGUGCCACAGGGUGUGGGUCAUCUUCCCAUUUGAAUAAAACAAGGAAA